AUUGAACGCUGGCGGCAUGCCUUACACAUGCAAGUCGAACGGCAGCACGGGUGCUUGCACCUGGUGGCGAGUGGCGCACGGGUGAGUAAUACAUCGGAACAUGUCCUGUAGUGGGGGAUAGCCGGGCGAAAGCCGGAUUAAUACCGCAUACGAUCUACGGAUGAACGCGGGGGACCUUCGGGCCUCGCGCUAUAGGGUUGGCCGAUGGCUGAUUAGCUAGUUGGUGGGGUCAAGGCCUACCAAGGCGACGAUCAGUAGCUGGUCUGAGAGGACGACCAGCCACACUGGGACUGAGACACGGCCCAGACUCCGACGGGAGGCAGCAGUGGGGAAUUUUGGACGAUGGGGGCAACCCUGAUCCAGCCAUCCCGCGGGUGCGAUGAAGGCCUUCGGGUUGUAAAGCACUUUUGGCAGGAAAGAAACGUCGCGGGCGAAUACCCCGUGGAACUGACGGUACCUGCAGAAUAAGCACCGGCUAACUACGUG
rnacentral:rRNA from 1 species